rnacentral:rRNA from 1 species
GCAGCAGCCACGGGAAUACGUAGGGUGCAAGCGUUAAUCGGAAUUACUGGGCGUAAAGCGUGCGCAGGCGGUUAUAUAAGACAGAUGUGAAAUCCCCGGGCUCAACCUGGGAACUGCAUUUGUGACUGUAUAGCUAGAGUACGGCAGAGGGGGAUGGAAUUCCGCGUGUAGCAGUGAAAUGCGUAGAUAUGCGGAGGAACACCGAUGGCGAAGGCAAUCCCCUGGGCCUGUACUGACGCUCAUGCACGAAAGCGUGGGGAGCAAACAGGAUUAGAUACCCCUGUAGUCCCUGUCUCUUAUAC